rnacentral:rRNA from 1 species
CCUACGUGUGGCAGCAGUGGGGAAUAUUGCACAAUGGGGGAAACCCUGAUGCAGCGACGCCGCGUGAGUGAAGAAGUAUCUCGGUACGUAAAGCUCUAUCAGCAGGGAAGAAAAUGACGGUACCUGACUAAGAAGCCCCGGAUAACUACGUGCCAGCAGCCGCGGGAAUACGUAGGGGGCAAGCGUUAUCCGGAUUUACUGGGUGUAAAGUGAGCGGAGACGGCAGUACAAGUCUGGAGUGAAAUCCCGGGGCUUAAGCCCGGAACUGCUUUGGAAACUGGGCGGCUGGAGUGCAGGAGAGGUAAGCGGAAUUCCAAGUGUAGCGGUGAAAUGCGUAGAUAUUAGGAGGAACACCAGUGGCGAAGGUGGCUUACUGGACUGUAACUGACGUUGAGGCUCGAAAGCGUGGGGAGCAAACAGGAUUAGAUACCCGUGUAGUC